rnacentral:rRNA from 1 species
UACGAAGGGUGCAAGCGUUGUUCGGAAUUACUGGGCGUAAAGGGCGCGUAGGCGGCCGUUUGCGUCGGAUGUGAAAGCCCGGGGCUCAACCUCGGAACGGCAUUCGAUACGGGACGGCUGGAGACCGGGAGAGGAGAGUGGAAUAGCCAGUGUAGGGGUGAAAUGCGUAGAUAUCUGGAGGAACACCGGUGGCGAAGGCGGCAUCCUGGACCAACACUGACACUGAGGAGCGAAAGCCAGGGGAGCAAACGGG